AGGCAUUAAUACCGCCGAAAGUCCUCACACCCUAGAAACACCCUCUACUUCAUCACAACAACCGAUGAUUAAAGAAAAUGUGGCUCCGACACGUGAACAAAGACAUAUUGCAAAUUCUGACAUGGGACAUGUUGAAGAACUAACCGAAUCAAUGAUGAUUCAAAACAGAGGCAGCAACCGAUCAACCCUAGGACAAGGAAGUAUGUCUGAAAUAUACG